rnacentral:snoRNA from 1 species
UCGACCCUAAUGCUUUUAAUGAUCAUUUCUUAAGUAUGUGUCGCAACGGUAUCCGAUUCUAUUGAGCAGAUCAACAACGUCACGAUGACGUGAGAUCGUAUUGAGUCCUGAGCGUGAAACAGGUUUUUCUCUAUCAUUCGUUCUUCGCCUCUAACGAAUGUAAGAAAUCCAUUGAAGAUCGUUAUUAAGAGGGUUAAUAACUUCUUAAAGAGGGACUCAAUGCUUUCUGA